UCUCCGUUGGUGAACCAGCGGAGGGACCAUUACCGAGUGCAAACUCAUAACCCUUUGUGAACCUAUAUCUGUUGCUUCGGCGGCUCGCUCUCGGGCGAGCCCGCCGGUAAUAUCAGUAUCUCUGUUUGAACCCGACGAUACUUCUGAGUGUUCUUAGCGAACAGUUAAAACUUUUAACAACGGAUCUCUUGGCUCUA
rnacentral:misc_RNA from 1 species